AGAGAUAAUUGGGUGUAAAGUACAACUUUAAGUCUAAAUUAGUUUUGUCACUAUCCAUUUAGUUGAGCAAACAAUAUAAAUAUUCCGCCCCGUAAACAGACUAAAUUAGCCCCACGCUCCAAUUUUUUUUUACACUUUUCAUUAUCUCUCAUCAUCAAAACCUUUGCAGGUCAUUUGUUCCCCAUUUCAUCUCUUGCCAUUAUUCUUUCACCGGUGAUUUCUAUAGCAAAUCAAAUAUCGAGAACCAUGACGGUGACGCGGCCGCCGUGUGCGGUAGAAGAUUUGAGGCCGAAGAGAGAUUGUGUGUUGGCCAACGGGAGGGAUCUUGGGUUACUUGGUGUUUGUUGACGGUGAAGAAAAGAGGUUCUUACGAUAGCGCUGGAGAGAGAGAGCAGUGGAAGCCAUUGAUGAAAGAUGUGCAGUUUACUUGGUACAUGUGUACAUAUAUUAUUAACGUUCUAUAUAUGUGUUUACAUUUAUACAAAUAUUAAUAAUGCUCUAUAUAUGUAUUUACAUGUAUACAAAAUGUUAAUAACACCUUAUGUAUCAUGUAAUAUACAUAUCUAUUUUGUAUAUAAAUGUAUUACUUCACAAAUGUUAAUAAUGCUCUAUAUACGUAUUUAUAUGUAUAUAAAUAUUAAUAAUGCUCUUUAUAUAUGUAUUUAUAUGCUCUGUUCGACAAUCUGGUUGCAGUAUAUGUUUGUAACAUACAAAUCUACAAAAGUUAAUAACACUUUAUAUAUAUGUGUACCUA